rnacentral:rRNA from 1 species
GACGAACGCUGGCGGCGUGCUUAACACAUGCAAGUCGAACGGAAAGGCCCUGCUUUUGUGGGGUGCUCGAGUGGCGAACGGGUGAGUAACACGUGAGUAACCUGCCCUUGACUUUGGGAUAACUUCAGGAAACUGGGGCUAAUACCGGAUAGGAGCUCCUGCUGCAUGGUGGGGGUUGGAAAGUUUCGGCGGUUGGGGAUGGACUCGCGGCUUAUCAGCUUGUUGGUGGGGUAGUGGCUUACCAAGGCUUUGACGGGUAGCCGGCCUGAGAGGGUGACCGGCCACAUUGGGCCUGAGAUACGGCCCAGACUCCUACGGGAGGCAGCAGUGGGGAAUAUUGCACAAUGGGCGGAAGCCUGAUGCAGCAACGCCGCGUGCGGGGUGACGGCCUUCGGGUUGUAAACCGCUUUCGCCUGUGACGAAGCGUGAGUGACGGUAAUGGGUAAAGAAGCACCGGCUAACUACGUG